rnacentral:rRNA from 1 species
CAGUAGCCGCGGUAAUACGGAGGGUGCAAGCGUUAAUCGGAAUUACUGGGCGUAAAGCGCACGCAGGCGGUCUGACAAGUCAGAUGUGAAAUCCCCGGGCUUAACCUGGGAACUGCAUUUGAAACUGUCAGGCUGGAGUCUUGUAGAGGGGGGUGGAAUUCCAGGUGUAGCGGUGAAAUGCGUAGAGAUCUGGAGGAAUACCGGUGGCGAAGGCGGCCCCCUGGACAAAGACUGACGCUCAGGUGCGAAAGCGUGGGGAGCAAACAGGAUUAGAUACCCCCGUAGUCCCUGUCCUUAUACA